GAAGAUACAUCUAGCGGCGGACGGGUGAGUAACACGUGAGCAACCUAGCCUUAAAGAGGGGGAUAACGUUGGGAAACCAACGCUAAUACCGCAUAAGAUAUUAGUGCCGCAUGGCACAGAUAAUAAAAGGAGCAAUCCGCUUUAAGAUGGGCUCGCGCCCGAUUAGGUAGUUGGUGAGGUAAAGGCCACCAAGCCUGCGAUCGGUAGCCGGACUGAGAGGUUGAUCGGCCACAUUGGGACUGAGACACGGCCCAGACUCCUACGGGAGGCAGCAGGUGGGGGAUAUUGCACAAUGGAGGAAAAACCUCUGAUGCAGCGACGCCGCGUGGAGGGAAGAAGGUCUUCGGAUUGUAAACCUCUGUCGGUUGGGGAAGAUAAUGACGGUACCCAAGGAGGAAGCCACGGCUAACUACGUGCCAGCCGCGGC
rnacentral:rRNA from 1 species